UGACGCUGGCGGCAGGCCUAACACAUGCAAGUCGAGCGGCAGCACGGGUACUUGUACCUGGUGGCGAGCGGCGGACGGGUGAGUAAUGCCUAGGAAUCUGCCUGGUAGUGGGGGAUAACGCUCGGAAACGGACGCUAAUACCGCAUACGUCCUACGGGAGAAAGCAGGGGACCUUCGGGCCUUGCGCUAUCAGAUGAGCCUAGGUCGGAUUAGCUAGUUGGUGAGGUAAUGGCUCACCAAGGCGACGAUCCGUAACUGGUCUGAGAGGAUGAUCAGUCACACUGGAACUGAGACACGGUCCAGACUCCUACGGGAGGCAGCAGUGGGGAAUAUUGGACAAUGGGCGAAAGCCUGAUCCAGCCAUGCCGCGUGUGUGAAGAAGGUCUUCGGAUUGUAAAGCACUUUAAGUUGGGAGGAAGGGCAUUAACCUAAUACGUUGGUGUCUUGACGUUACCGACAGAAUAAGCACCGGCUAACUCUGUGCCAGCAGCCGCGGUAAU
rnacentral:rRNA from 1 species